rnacentral:rRNA from 1 species
GACGAACGCUGGCGGCGUGCCUAACACAUGCAAGUCGAGCGGAGAUGUACUGAAGAUUUAUCGGAUGUACAUCUUAGCGGCGGACGGGUGAGUAACGCGUGGGCAACCUGCCUUUCACUGGGGGAUAACACAGGGAAACCUGUGCUAAUACCGCAUGACAUCACGUAGGGCAUCCUAUGUGAUCAAAGGAGAGAUCCGGUGGAAGAUGGGCCCGCGUCCAAUUAGCUGGUUGGUGAGGUAAAGGCUCACCAAGGCGACGAUUGGUAGCCGAACUGAGAGGUUGAUCGGCCACAUUGGGACUGAGACACGGCCCAGACUCCUACGGGAGGCAGCAGUGGGGAAUAUUGCGCAAUGGGGGGAACCCUGACGCAGCAACGCCGCGUGAAGGAGAAGGUCUUCGGAUUGUAAACUUCUUUGAUGAGGGACGAAUAAAGUGACGGUACCUCAAAAACAAGCCACGGCUAACUACGUGCCAGCAGCCGCGGUAAUCAUA